rnacentral:misc_RNA from 1 species
AUUUCGAGUAAUUAAUCCUCUUCUGAAAAACAAAAGGAAAGCAAUUUGUUACCAUAUGUCUAUACCAUAAGUACCACGUUGCAAAAUUUGUCUGCAAAUACCAUCAUCAUGAUAAAAGCUAAAUUUGCAUUUAAAACUUUGCAAACACGAGUCACUGACUAAUAACAUUUGAAAAAUAUAUCACCCCCAAAACGAGAGGAAAAAUUAUACUUCACUAUUAAUGACUCCCAAGAAAAAAUAAAAAGUGAAGGAAAACACUAGCAAGCACCAGUUCCUACCACAUAGGCGCAACAAAAGUACUUGCAUGCGAAAACUAGAAUAUCUUCACAAACAUGCCAGUCAUAUUAUACAAUACUCGUGCAAAUCAAGCAUGAACAUAUGUGCUACUAACAGAAGAUUAAAUGAGCCUCAACUCUCCGUCCCAGCCCACCACUUAAAACUUCCAGAAGCUCCACUAAUGGAAAAAAAAAAGUAAAA